rnacentral:rRNA from 1 species
GAUGAACGCUAGCGGCAGGCUUAACACAUGCAAGUCGAGGGGCAGCGCGGGAUAGCAAUAUCCUGGCGGCGACCGGCGGAAGGGUGCGUAACGCGUGAGCGACAUGCCCGUUGCCCGGGGACAACCGGUGGAAACGCCGACUAAUCCCCGAUGGGAUACGAUGCUUCAUGGCAUUGUAUUGAAAGUUACGGCGGCGACGGAUUGGCUCGCGUCCGAUUAGCUGGUUGGCGGGGUAACGGCCCACCAAGGCUGCGAUCGGUAGGGGUUCUGAGAGGAAGGCCCCCCACAAUGGGACUGAGACACGGCCCGUACUCCUACGGGAGGCAGCAGUGAGGAAUAUUGGUCAAUGGGCGGAAGCCUGAACCAGCCAUGCCGCGUGCGGGAAGGAGGCCCUAUGGGCUGUGAACCGCUUUUGCCUGGGGGCAAUAAGGGCGUCGCGCACGUCCGAUGAGAGUACCAGGCGAAUAAGCAUCGGCUAACUCCGUG